rnacentral:rRNA from 1 species
CUCAGGAGAAGGAACUCGGCAAAUUGACACCGUAACUUCGGGAGAAGGUGUGCCCUUGUAGGGUGAAGUCCCUUGCGGAUGGAGCUCGAAAGGGUUGCAGUGAAAAGGUGGCUGCGACUGUUUAUUAAAAACACAGCACUCUGCAAACACGAAAGUGGACGUAUAGGGUGUGACGCCUGCCCGGUGCUGGAAGAUUAAAUGAUGGGGUGCAAGCUCUUGAUUGAAGUCCCAGUAAACGGCGGCCGUAACUAUAACGGUCCUAAGGUAGCGAAAUUCCUUGUCGGGUAAGUUCCGACCCGCACGAAUGGCGUAACGAUGGCCACACUGUCUCCUCCUGAGACUCAGCGAAGUUGAAAUGUUUGUGAAGAUGCAAUCUCCCCGCGGCUAGACGGAAAGACCCCAUGAACCUUUACUGUAGCUUUGCAUUGGACUUUGAACCGGUUUGUGUAGGAUAGGUGGGAGACUGUGAAGCCGGGACGCUAGUUUCGGUGGAGUCAACCUUGAAAUACCACCCUGAUUUGUUUGAGGUUCUAACCUUGGUCCGUGAAUCCGGAUCGGGGACCGUGCAUGGUAGGCAGUUUGACUGGGGCGGUCUCCUCCCAAAGUGUAACGGAGGAGUUCGAAGGUACGCUAGUUACGGUCGGACAUCGUGACGAUAGUGCAAUGGCAUAAGCGUGCUUAACUGCGAGACUGACAAGUCGAGCAGAUGCGAAAGCAGGACAUAGUGAUCCGGUGGUUCUGUAUGGAAGGGCCAUCGCUCAACGGAUAAAAGGUACUCCGGGGAUAACAGGCUGAUACCGCCCAAGAGUUCAUAUCGACGGCGGUGUUUGGCACCUCGAUGUCGGCUCAUCACAUCCUGGGGCUGUAGCCGGUCCCAAGGGUAUGGCUGUUCGCCAUUUAAAGUGGUACGUGAGCUGGGUUUAAAACGUCGUGAGACAGUUUGGUCCCUAUCUGCCGUGGGCGCUGGAAAUUUGAAGGGGGCUGCUCCUAGUACGAGAGGACCGGAGUGGACGAACCUCUGGUGUACCGGUUAUGACGCCAGUCGUAUCGCCGGGUAGCUAAGUUCGGAAGAGAUAACCGCUGAAAGCAUCUAAGCGGGAAACUUGCCUCAAGAUGAGACUUCCCUGGCAGCUUGACUGCCCUGAAGGGUCGUGGAAGACCACCACGUUGAUAGGUCGGGUGUGGAAGCGCAGUAAUGCGUUAAGCUAACCGAUACUAAUUGCCCGUGCGGCUUGAUCCU